rnacentral:rRNA from 1 species
CCUGACUGCUAUCGGAUUGAUACUAAGCCAUGCGAGUCAUUGUAGUAAUACAAGGCAGACGGCUCAGUAACGCGUAGUCAACCUAACCUAUGGACGGGAAUAACCUCGGGAAACUGAGAAUAAUGCCCGAUAGAACAUUAUGCCUGGAAUGGUUUAUGUUCCAAACGAUUUAUCGCCAUAGGAUGGGACUGCGGCCUAUCAGUUUGUUGGUGAGGUAAUGGCCCACCAAGACUAUUACAGGUACGGGCUCUGAGAGGAGUAGCCCGGAGAUGGGUACUGAGACACGGACCCAGGCCCUAUGGGGCGCAGCAGGCGAGAAAACUUUGCAAUGUGCGAAAGCACGACAAGGUUAAUCCGAGUGGUUUCUGCUAAAGGAACCUUUUGUCAGUCCUAAAAACACUAACGAAUAAGGGGUGGGCAAGUUCUGGUGUCAGCCGCCGCGGUAAAACCAGCACCUCAAGUGGUCAGGAUGAUUAUUGGGCCUAAAGCAUCCGUAGCCGGCUCUGUAAGUUUUCGGUUAAAUCUGUACGCUCAACGUACAGGCUGCCGGAAAUACUGCACAGCUAGGGAGUGGGAGAGGUAGACGGUACUCGGCAGGAAGGGGUAAAAUCCUUUGAUCUAUUGAUGACCACCUGUGGCGAAGGCGGUCUACCAGAACACGUCCGACGGUGAGGGAUGAAAGCUGGGGGAGCAAACCGGAUUAGAUACCCGGGUAGUCCCAGCUGUAAACUAUGCAAACUCAGUGAUGCAUUGGCUUAUGGCCAAUGCAGUGCUGCAGGAAGCCGUUAAGUUUGCCGCCUGGGAAGUACGUACGCAAGUAUGAAACUUAAAGGAUUGGCGGGGAGCACMCAGGGUGAAGCUGCGUUC